rnacentral:lncRNA from 1 species
GAGAGGGGAUUUGGCAACAAUAAAGGGAGAUGUGUCUACCAUAAGUGGGAGGUUAGAACGGGUAGAAAGCCAAAGAAGUUCCUGACCUUCAACUCCUCGAAACACUUCCCCUACUGUCUUCCCCAAAAUGUUACACCAAAUGAACAAAUCACCGAGCCAACCACCAAAUACUUUCAAAACCCGUGAGUAUGAUAGACCAACCCUCUCUCCACUUCACCAAGUCCAACACGACGGAUUUGGAACCCAAAUUCCACCAAACCAGGGCCCUCCACUUAACCUAAGGCCUCACUUUCCAAUCUAAACUCCAUUAACCAAAGGCCUUACUAUCCUCCAAAUCCAAAUCUAAUUAAUCCAAAUCCACCAAAACGUGUUGAGGGUUAUGGUAGGGAGGAACAACAUGGAGGUUAUGGAGUUUAUGGUAAUGGUUACUUGAGGGAAGAAGAUGAGAGGGGUAAACAAGGAGAUCUAGGCCGAAAAGUGAGGGGUGGUCAACAAACCUGGAAGCUUGGCCUCAAUUCCAUCAAAGUUAGUCUUCCUAUCUUCAAGGGUGAGAGUGAUCCCAAGGAAUAUCUUGGUCAUCUUGUGAUAGGAUAUUCCAAGUGAACGAUCUAACCGAAAAGAAGAAGAGUUGUUGUGCAAUCGCUCACUUUGAGGGGUAUGCAAACACUUUGUGGGAGUAUAUGAAGAGAUUUGGUUAUAUGUUGAUUGCCGGACAGCCACCUCCAUGGUUU